CCGGGGAUAGUCCUUGAUGGAGGUGUUAGUGCCGGGGAUAGUCCUUGAUGGAGAUGGUGGUGCCGGUGCUAGUCCUUGAUGGAGGUGGUGGUGCUGGGGCUAGUCCUUGAUAGAGGUGGUGGUGCCGGUGCUAGUCCUUGAUGGAGGUGGUGGUGCUAGUCCUUGAUGGAGGUGUUAGUGCCGGGGCUAGUCCUUGAUGGAGGUGGUGGUGCCUGUGCUAGUCCUUGAUGGAGGUGUUAGUGCUGGUGCUAGUCCUUGAUGGAGGUGCCGGUACUAGUCCUUGAUGGAGGUGCCGGUGCUAGU
ensembl:lncRNA